rnacentral:rRNA from 1 species
UGGCGAACGGGUGAGUAACACGUGGGUAACCUGCCCAUCAGAAGGGGAUAACACUUGGAAACAGGUGCUAAUACCGUAUAACACUAUUUUCCGCAUGGAAGAAAGUUGAAAGGCGCUUUUGCGUCACUGAUGGAUGGACCCGCGGUGCAUUAGCUAGUUGGUGAGGUAACGGCUCACCAAGGCAACGAUGCAUAGCCGACCUGAGAGGGUGAUCGGCCACACUGGGACUGAGACACGGCCCAGACUCCUACGGGAGGCAGCAGUAGGGAAUCUUCGGCAAUGGACGAAAGUCUGACCGAGCAACGCCGCGUGAGUGAAGAAGGUUUUCGGAUCGUAAAACUCUGUUGUUAGAGAAGAACAAGGAUGAGAGUAAAACGUUCAUCCCUUGACGUAUCUACCAG